UUUUUUUGUUCUCACUUUUGCUGCAGGAAAGAAGCCGAAAUGACAACGAAGAAGCCAUUGCUGGAGAUUUAUUCACUGCUUUGCAAAUAAAGAAAUGUGCAUAUAUAUUUCUCAUCUUCCUCCCAGAUCAGGAUAAAUCAUCGAUGUACCCCAAGCACAACUAAAGAAAGAAAUAUGGAAUGACCAUUAAAUAGGCCAAAUGGUUA